GACAGAGGGUGCAAACGUUGUUCGGAAUUACUGGGCGUAAAGCGCGUGUAGGCGGCAGGGUAUGUCGGAUGUGAAAUCCCGUGGCUCAACCACGGAAGUGCACCCGAAACCACCCAGCUAGAGUCUCGGAGAGGAAGGCGGAAUGCUUGGUGUAGAGGUGAAAUGCGUGAGAUAUCAAGAGGAACACCUGCGGCGAAGGCGGGUUGCUGGGCCGACACUGACGCUGAGGCGCGAAAGCGUGGGGAGCAAACAGG
rnacentral:rRNA from 1 species